GGGUACAAAAUAUUCCUCUGCUUUUACAAGCCGUUUUGGUAUUUGAUCCUCCAUAGAUCCUGUAAUCAUACACGUGAGUAACCUUCUGUAGAAUGUAACAGACUUUUAGCAAUCACCAGCUGUUACUUCCAUUUUUCUGGUGUUGUUUCAUUGUGCAGCUUAGUUUUAGUGAAAGUUUUAGAGAUAAUAGUGCAAGCUUAACCUUUGCUACUGGUCAAUAAAUAUCCAUACAUGAAAAGUACACACACACACACACACACACACACACACACACACAUACGACGGGCUUCUCUCAGUUCCCGUCUACCAAAUGCUCAUAAGACUUUCGUCGGUCCGGAGCUUUCGUAGAAAACACUUGCCGAAGGUGACACGCAGUGGGACUAACCCGGGAACCACGUGGCUGGAAAGCAAGUUUCUUACCAGACAGAUACUUCUAAGUAUAUGUACAUACAUAUGCAUACAUAGCUGCCGGUCAAGUAGUGUGGAGCGACUGACCUCCCUUGUUCGAAGGUUAUAUGGAUACAGUUUGUGUAUCAAAUAGCUAACUUAAGGCGAUGGCCUCAUGGAGCUAAUAAGCGGACAGCUUUUUUCUUAUUUUUAUAAGAAUGCCAUAUUAGUAUGGCGAUAACUAUUAUUUUCCGGGAACGCUGCCGCUGUUCUCUUUUAGAGAGACUUAGUUAUUUUAAUAUUUCUAUUAUUGAAAACAAGUGGAUGUAUUCCACUGAAACUAGGUAAAUAAAACCAUCGAACAGAGAUUGUCGGAAGCGACACCUACUGGCUGGCUACGCUGCAUUGAAAAGGGGCAAUACCCCGAAACGCGUCUGUAGCUGCCGGUCAAGUAGUGUGGAGCGACUGACCUCCCUUGUUCGAAGGUUAUAUGGAUACAGUUUGUGUAUCAAAUAGCUAACUUAAGGCGAUGGCCUCUUGGAGCUAAUAAGCGGACAGGUUUUUUCUUAUUUUUAUAAGAAUGCCAUAUUAGUAUGGCGAUAACUAUUAUUUUAUAUAUAUAUAUAUAUAUAUAUAUAUAUAUAUAUAUAUAUAUAUAUAUAUAUAUAUAUAUAUAUAUAUAUAUAUCAUACAUAUAUAUAUAUAUAUACCGGUGUAAACACAUAAAUGUGAAACAAGGUGGAAAAAGAGUACUCAAAUACCAGUGGUAGAGUAAUAUGCUUUAUUUGUUUGCUAGCAAAAACUGUCCGAUGAACGGCAACGGGAAACUCAGAGUAACAGGUUUUGUUGAAUUUUCUGCUGCUUUAAAUAAAGUAUAUAUAUAUAUAUAUAUAUAUAUAUAUAUAUAUAUAUAUAUAUAAGGUGUAUUCCGUUAGGAACGUAUUAGAGUACAAUUAUCAACUAGCCGGUAGUAUUACGGUAUACUUCCAAGUCUAGGUUUAGACAUUCAUCGUGUGAGGCAGCUAUUUAAUAAACUCUACACGUGUAGUGUUUAUGAAAUAGCUGUCUAAACGUAGUCAUUCAUGACUCUAUUUAUUCAAUGCUAUCUAUCAAUCAGUCAAUCAAUCAAUCAAUCAAAGGAAUUUUAUUUGAUUCCUUUGCAGGAAGGACCAUAUAUAUAUAUGCAUGUAGAUGUAGGUACAUACAUAUAUGUAUGUAUGUAUGCAUAUAUUUUAUUUAUUAAAUUAUAUAUACAUAUAUAUAUAUAUAUAUAUAUAUAUAUAUAUAUAUAUAUAUGUAAUUUGCAGACGUAAUUUUUAUUGCAUCUCAAAACAUAUCGUGGUUUUAGAAACAGAAUGUUUUAUAAUGCAGUUCCAUAAUCAAAAUAUGGAAAUAUUAAUGGUUUAAGUAAGAAAAGAAGAGACUUAUUAUGGAAGAGAUAGUUUCGCUUACACGUCAAGUGUUUUUGACUUCUUCAGUGUCUUUAGAAACGCUUGAGUAUCACAUCUUCACUUUCACUUUCGUUUUUAGACAGUCAAUGUCUCAUAAGAAUAUAAAUGGGCGAAAAAUUAGUAUUUGUCUGUGUGUGCGCAGAAGUGUGCGUGUGUGUGUGUGUGUGUGUGUGUGUGUGUGUGUGUGUGUGUGUGUGUGUGUGUGUGUGUGUGUGUGUGUGUGUGUGUGUCUGUUUGUGUGUGUGUGUGUGUGUGUGUGUGUGUGUGUGUGUGUGUGUGUGUGUGUGUGUGUGUGUGUGUGUCUUUUCAGGAACAAGAUAAAGCAUUCAGAGAAAGGAAAAAGGAAUAACUAUGGGAGAGGGAUUGAUUGGGGGGAAAAGAAACGGGAGAGAGAGAGAGAGAGAGAGAGAGACAGAGAGACAGAGAGUCAGAGACAGACAGACAGACAGACAGAGUAGAAUGGAAUGAGGGAAAAUGAAGAGCUGCGAUAAUUACAGACUAUUAGAUAAAAAUCAAAGAAACGGAAUAAGAAAGAAAGAAAGGAAAGGUAUUGGAGAGAGAAGUAGGAGUUAUAUUUGCAAAGGGAGUCACGAACGAACAAACCAGCAUAUGGCUAAGGUAAAAAGAGGAGCAGGAACAGGAGAAUUAGCAGGUAGGAUUAGAGGAAAGGGGGCAGCAGCAGCGCUUGUGUGGGAGUGUUUCUCAGCUUGUCUAUUUGUCUGUCUGUCUGUCAUUCUAUUGAUGUAUGCAAUUAUGUGUCAGCUGAGUAAAAAGUUCAUUGAUAAAUCCUCCCAAGGCUUCCUCGUGCGUUCCAAGCGUUUCUACCCACGCGCGGCGCAGUUACACUCAGCCAACGAGGAGAAAGAAGAUCCCUAUGUCAUCGCAAAACAUGCUAGAAAUAGCAGUCAAAUCUUACUCAACCAAACUCUAUUACUCUUUACUCUUUUACUUGUUUCAGUCAUUUGACUGCGGCCAUGCUGGAGCACCGCCUUUAGUCGAGCAAAUCGACCCCGGGACUUAUUCUUUGUAAGCCCAGUACUUAUUCUAUCGGUUUCUUUUUGCCGAACCGCAAAGUGACGGGGACGUAAACACACCAGUAUCGGUUGUCAAACAAUGCUAGGGGGACAAACACAGACACACAAACAUAUACACACACAUAUAUAUAUAUACAUAUAUACGACGGGCUUCUUUCAGUUUCCGUCUACCAAAUCCACUCACAAGGCAUUGGUCGGCCCGGGUGCAUUGCUGCAAGAACUGAAACAGACCAUACGAGUGCGCAGUGGGACUGAACCCGGAACCAUGUGGUUGGUAGGCAAGCUACUUACCACACAGCCACUCCUGAAUGCUAGUUUAUAGUAGAAUAUAUUAUUUUGAUAAGGACUAUACAAACUCGCAGCUUAUCAACAGAUACAUCAAUACGCACGUAUGUACAUAUACAUACACACACGCUCACACACAUACACACACUUACGUAUAUGUGUGUGUGUUUCUCUGUACUUAUGUGUGUGUGUGUGACCGUUGGACUUCGACACACUCUCCGCCACCUUAAUUUCAUUCCUAUAUUAUUACUCAAAUCGAGGAUUUUAUUGAGAACAAGUGUCCAAGGCUACCAUCUGUGGGACCCAACCAGAAAUGACAUAUAUGCAAAAACCUACGUGUAAAGAAACUGACUAAUGUUAACUUUUAAUCGUAUGUAGGCUAGUUCAAUCUCAACCGAGUACUAUCAUUGUAAUGAUGUGUAUUAUUCAAUAUAUAUUUCUUUACUACCCACAAGGGGCGAAACGCAGAGGGGACAAACAAGGACAGACAAACGGAUUAAGUCGAUUACAUCGACCCCAGUGCGUAGCUGGUACUUAAUUUAUCGACCCCGAAAGGAUGAAAGGCAAAGUCGACCUCGGCGGGAUUUUAAAUCAGAACGUAACGGCAGACGAAAUACCGCUUAGCAUUUCGCCCGGCGUGCUAACGCUUCUGCCAGCUCGCCGCCUUAUACAAUAGGUGAGCUCAUUGAUAAAAUACCUGAAAAUAUCUCGUGUUUUUAGUCAUUCAACGAAUAUUACACUAACAUAAAAAUUUAGAAUAGCCUAUUUAGAAAUGUCGAUAAUGAAACGACCAUAAGAGCAGUGAAAUGUCAGAAACAUACACUAGUAGAUUAGCAGACUGAAUGAGGUUCUGGGUUGAUCCGAGUGUGUGGCAUGCUGGGCGGGUUACUUUUCCAUUGCCUAAGAUCAACACAAAGUAGUUUGAGAGAAUCUGACUAAUCGGAAACUGUUUGGAAUAUACAUUAUUUACAUUAUUUACAUUUCGACGGAUUUUGUCCUCAUCUUGUUUGUUGUUAACACAACGUUUCGGCUGAUAUACCAUCCAGCCUUCAACAGGUGUCUUGGGGAAGUUUCGAAUCUGGGUUCUCAUUCCUAAGGUAUUUUUCGAUGUUAUUCUUGUUGUUGUUGUUGUUGUUGUUGUUGUUGUUUUUAUUCUUCUUCUUCUUCUUCUUCUUCUUAUUAUUAUUAUUAUUAUUAUUAUUAUUAUUAUUAUUAUUAUUAUUAUUAUUAUUAUUAUUCAGGUCGGUGUAGUGGUUAAGAGCGCGGGCUACUAACCCCAAGUUUCCGAGUUCGAUUUCAGGCAGUGACCUGAAUAAUGAUAAUAAUAAUAAUAAUAAUAAUAAUAAUAAUAAUAAUAAUAAUAAUAAUAAUAAUAAUUAAUGAUAAUAAUAAUAAUAAUAAUAAUAACAACAACAACAACAUCGAAAAAUACCUUAGGGAUGAGAACCCUGGUUCGAGCCUUCCCCAAGACACCUUAUGAAGGCUGGAGGGUACAUCAGCCGAAACGUUGUGUUAACAACAAACAAGAUGAGGACAAAUAUACGUCAAAAUGUAAAUAAUGUAAAUAAUGUACAUAAUUCGUCAUCUCUUAAACAUAGAACUGAACUGUUUGGAAUCCUAUGAGUUAGACUGUAUCUAUAAUUCAACUGUCCAACCUUAUCACAUUUGUGUCACCGUGUGAAGCUGAUUCUACUUGUGAAUUACGUUAAGGGUACGCGGGUCAGAGGAAUAGACAGCCACUUGGGCACGGUAAUUCAAUAAUUCUGUGUAUUGCUGAGUUGAUCAAAAUGGACGUCCUUACCACAAAAGCGAGAAGAGAGUUCAUUUUUACAUCUCUAUCUUUCUAUUUAUGUAUGUACAUAUGUGUGUGUACAUACAUACAUACAUACAUACAUACAUUCAUACAUACACCCAUUCAUACAUACGUACAUACAUACAUACAUACAUACAUACAUACAUACAUACAUACAUACAUACAUACAUACAUACGUACAUACACCCAUUCAUACAUACAUACAUACAUACAUACAUACAUACAUACAUACAUACAUACAUACAUACACCCAUUCAUACAUACAUACAUACAUACAUACAUACAUACAUACAUACAUACAUACAUACAUACAUACAUACAUACAUACAUACAUACAUACAUACAUACAUACACCCAUUCAUACAUACAUACAUACAUACAUACAUACAUACGUACAUACAUACAUACAUACAUACAUUCAUACAUACAUACAUACACCCAUUCAUACAUACAUACAUUCAUACAUACAUACAUACAUACAUACAUACAUACAUACAUACAUACAUACAAUUCAUACAUACAUACAUACAUACAUACAUACAUACAUACAUACAUACAUACAUACAUACAUACAUACAUACACCCAUACAUACAUACAUACAUACAUACAUACAUACAUACAUACAUACAUACAUACAUACAUACAUACAUACAUACAUACAUACAUACAUACAUACAUACAUACAUACAUACAUACAUACAUUCACACAUACAUACAUACAUACAUACAUACAUACAUACAUACAUACAUACAUACAUACAUACAUACAUACAUACAUACAUACAUACAUACAUACAUACAUACAUACAUACAUACAUACAUACAUACAUACAUACAUACAUACAUACAUACAUACAUACAUACAUACAUACAUACAUACAUACAUACAUACAUACAUACAUACACACAUACAUACAUACAUACAUACAUACAUACAUACAUACAUACAUACAUACAUACAUACAUACAUACAUACAUACAUACAUACAUACAUACAUACAUACAUACAUACAUUCAUACAUACAUACAUACAUACAUACAUACAUACAUACAUACAUACAUACAUACAUACAUAUGCAUGUGCCUAAGCGUGUGUGUGUAUGCAUGUCUACACACAUACACGAAUAGUGUGUAUCUGCUUCCUUUAUAUGUGUGUCUGUAUGCAAAUAAAUGCACUCACAUUCCUAUUUACUCAAUAAUGAACAAAAGAAUUACUUAAACAAAAGAGCAGAAAUAUUUGAAAUUUCAUGCAGUAUGUCACUUUGUGUACUUGUGUGUGUGUGUGUGUGUCUAGGAGCUUGUGUCUGUAUAUGUUUAUAUAUCAGAGAGAGCGAAAGAAUGAGAGAGAAAGAAAGAGAGUGGGAGAGCGAGUAUGUGUUUCUUUUCUCUCUAAUUUAUGAGGAAAUUAAAUCAAUUCUAUAUAAAAUAUUUUCAUUCAGCAUGAAAAAUGUGUUAGUGGUGCCAAGAUUCCGUUAUUCAUGUGCGGAAUAUUUUAAUUGCAUAAAAUUAUACAAGAAUCUGUGUAAAUAUGUCUUUUAUUAAAUCGCCAUAAACAUCAGACUUACGUCGACGUAGAAGAUGUGAGUUUGUAUCCCAUGAACAAAUUUCGACAUUUUUUAACUCAACAUUUACAUAUUUUUUAUUUAAAGCUCUAUCUGCUUCCAGAUUCACCGUUUUAAAACUGAAUUAUUUCAAGGUCCCUUGAAGUUUCGAAAUUUUUACGACAUCAACAAUGUAUGCGUGUGUGUGUGUUUGUAUAUAUAUAUAUAUAUAUAUAUAUAUAUAUAUAUAUAUAUAUAUAUAUAUAUAUAUAUAUAUAAUAUAUAUAUAUAUAUAUAUAUAUAUAUAUAUAUAUAUAUAUAUAUAUAUAUAUAUGUAUAUAUAUGUAUAUGCAUAUGUAUAUCUAUGUAUAUAUAUAUAUAUAUAUAUAUAUAUAUACAUAUACAUAUGCAUAUACAUAUAUAUACAUGUGUGUGUGUGUAUAUAUAUAUAUAUAUAUACAAACACACACACUCAUUAUAUACUAUCUCUUACCUACAUGUACAUAUAUAUAUAUAUAUAUACAUAUACAUAUAUAUAUACAUAUAUAUAUAUAUAUAUAUUUAUAUCUUUAUAUUCUAUAUAUAAAUCAUAUCUAUAUUAAGUAGGUAUAAAUACUACACCGAUAUAAAUUAUGUAUAUAUAUAUAUAUAUAUAUAUAUAUAUAUAUAUAUAUAUAUAUAUACAUAUAUAUAUAAUUAUCGUCAAUCUAACAUGGCAGUCCAGAAAAUAGGACGAAUGCUGCCAUUGAUUAGCUCCAAGAGGCCAUCGCCUCUAGCUAUUGAUGUGACACACAGCAUUCGUCCUAUUUUUCUAGACUGCCAUGUUAGCUUGGCGAUAACUCUUAAUAUCCAGUACCACUGCCGUAGUCUCCCUUAGAGAGAAUUAGAAAUAAUGAUAUAUAUAUAUAUAUAUAUAUAUAUAUAUAUAUAUGUCAGUGACCUGCUUUUGAGACUAGUGCAGUUAGAAAUUUGCUAAUAUUUUGCAAACUGUUGCCAUAUUUUGCUAAAGUCCGAUGGUAAUGUAAUAUUCUGCACUGCCAAGUUCAAAUAUAAGCUAUAUGUAUGCAUGAAAUAUGAGAUUUUGGAAGUAUAUUUUGGGUCACGGCCAUACAUAUCUUAUGUAUGUAUGUAUGUAUGUAUGUAUGUAUGUAUGUAUGUAUGUAUGUAUGUAUGUAUGUAUGUAUGUAUGCAUAUAUAUAUAUAUUAGACAGACAGACAGACAGACAGACAGACAAACAGAUAGAAAGAAAGAAAGAAAGAAAGAAAGAUAGAUAGAUAGAUAGAUAGAUAGAUAGAUAAAUAGAUAGAUAGAUAGAUAGAUAGAUAGAUAGAUAGAUAGAUAGAUAGAUAGAUAGAUAGAUAGAUAGAUAGAUAGAUAGGUAGAUGGAAUAAAACGAAAGAUUUAAGAACCAAUAAGGGAAACGCUACACUUUUGUUCAUGCUAGAAAUAAUGGUCAUAUCUCCCUCAUUAAAAUCUUAGAAGAGAAAAUAUUAGAUAAUGCGAUCCUAGGUGUCCUUUUUGUUGGAAAAGUCAAGACAGUCACGGCUAGAACUGGCUCAUAGAAAUAUUCUAUUGUUAAUAGAGUAUUAACUGGGGCUUAGUAACAAUUAUAUCAGUAAAAUAUUUCUGUGUAUCUAUUAUUUUGUGAAGACAUAGCUUUCUAAAUGUUAAAAUAUUGUUGUGAUAUUUAAAACAAAGUUAAAUGCCUGAACAAACACUCCAUGGGAAUAUCAUUUUAAAAAAUAUUUUCUCUUGCUUUACAGGAUAAACACCAACCAAUCCAUUAAAAUCUCAAUUAAUCAAUUCGAUCAGGGCAUAUGCUGAACCAGUCCUAGAACUCAUUUACGACAAUCUGUUGGCAUUUUUGAUGAUAUUAGGAAGAUUGCUCUAUAUACUAGCAAUUGCAUUACAGAAAGAAAAAUCUAAACAUCAACGCGCAAUGCAGCUACUAUCUAUGUCCUAAAGUGAAGUCAGUGCAGGAAACAUCGUGCGACUGCAACCACUCGGCAAGUAGUUUUAUUCUUUUAAUUAUUUCUUUUGGUUAAAAACAAUUUGCUGUUACUACUUCUCAGUUAACCUUGAUGAAACAGGCCUAUCAAUUUUUGUGAGUUGUAUAUAUGACUACCUGAUCAAAUGAAUCAUUUUUCUUAUAUAAGCUAACAUGGUGUGAUUUGAGGGUGAGUUGCUUCGUAUACUGGGAGAAUGUGUUUAUAAAACAUCUUUUUCUCUUGCCUUUAUUGAGAAAAUUCUAUAGUUUGUAAGAUAUUUGUUGUUUUUUUCUUCAAUUUCUGCAAUUUCAAACAAUCAAUAACGUCUAUUCAGGUAAAAAAAACAUUGUGUGCCGUAUGAAUAUGUCCCUCGUUUAAGAAACAGAUUGGGUUUAUUUACAUUUGUGAAGAAAAAAAGAUACCCUUCCCGCCACCCCUAACCCUAACAAACCCUAACUAACCCUAACCCUAAAACAGAUUGAAAUGCAAUAGAUCGAUACUAGGGUCAUAAUUAUGGGUGACGAUUUCAUAUGACACCGCUAGAAAAACUGCCGUUCAAACCGAAAACAUCAGAAAAUUCUAACUGGGCCCCACCGAUGAGGUCAUGCGCUAUUUAUCUUGAUAUGAGAUCAGCAUGUCGCGCACAUAUGGUUAUGAUGCAUGUGCCUUGUGUACCCUUAUCAGACAGGCAGUCAUGAUGGGUAUACUGGGCUUCGUAUAUUUUACUCCAGGGUCACUUUGAUGACAUGCACUGCUCUUUCACUCAAUAAUAAUAAUAAUAAUAAUAAUAAUAAUAAUAAUAAUAAUAAUAAUAAUAAUGAUAAUAAUAAAUGCCCCGUUGCAGUACCAGGCAGUGGCUCUCAUGGCUGCUGAUCUUAAUUGGAAGUGUUAUCAAGUACAAUGUUUUGUCUUGGUAUAAAAGAUGGGCUACAGCAAAUAUUCUGCUCAAUACCACAGAUUUACGUGUCAGUUGUUUGACCAUAACCAGUUGACCAUGUUCCUUAGUGGCUGACGAUAUGUGCAUCUCUGAUCACGAGCAGAAGUAGUGGGGGAGCAUCAUAGCCAUGUGUUGAGACGAAUUCUUUGGGAAAAAUGAGUUUUUUGUUCAUCAUCCUUAAAACAAACCUUAUUCAGGAUGGGCUACUCGAUCUGAAAACAAUUUUAACUGCAAGGUCAUGCGCUGUUUAUCUUGGUGUGAGAUCACCAUGUGGCGCACCAUGUGGUUGUGAUGCACAUGCCUUGUGUACCCUUAUCAAAAGGAUAGUCAUCAUGGAUAUAUUGGGUUUCGUAUAUUUGUACCUUAGUGUCACUUUCGUGGCAUGCACUACUUUCUCACUCAAUAAUAAUAAUAAUAAUAAUAAUAAUAAUAAUAAUAAUGAUAAUAAUGAUAAUAAUGAUAAGUACAAUAAAGACAUGAAGAAGAAUUACGCUAGAAGGGACUACACAAUUAAAUCCAUAUAGCAACAACAGAAGUUGCUGGAAAAAAUAGAUGAGAUUGGCUGAUGAAAAGAACCUUAAAAAAGAGACUGAGAGCACUAUACUGGGCUUCGUAUAUUUUACUCCAGUGUCACUUUGAUGGCAUGCACUGCUAUGCCAAGCUAUGGCCACGAACUGGAGAGUCAACCUUUGGAAUGAGCAGAUGAAACCAUUGCCCAUAUCACGAACGAAUGCCCUAGACUCGCCCAUAACUACUACAAGUUGUGGCGACACGACCAGGUAACGAAAGUGCUACAUUGGGAACUGUGCGAAAAGUGGGAGCUAGAGAGAUGUAAGCCGUGGUAUGAGGACAAAUGGCAGAGAGUAGCGGAGUCGGAGACUAGCAAAAUUCUCUGGGAUUUCUUAAUCCUAACAGAUCAGGUGCUAGAGCAUAACAGACCGGACCUAGUGCUGGUGGACAAGGUGCACCACAUAUGCUAUAUAGUUGGUGUUGUAUGCCCCUUUGACCCACGAAUAGUCAAGAAGAAAGACGAAAAUAUCGAUAGAUAGAACCCUAUUAAGUACGAAAUAACCCGACUAUGAAAAAUGAAGAAGGUGAAGAUAGUGCCAAGUAUUGUUGUGUCUUUAGGAAUUGUAUCAGAAGGCAUCAAGGGGAAUAUAAAGGAAAUUGCAAUAAAGUGCCCAGUAGAAGUGUUACAAAAGGUUUGCCUGCUUGGCACGGCCAGAAUAACCAGGAAAGUAUUAGAUAGCAGAAAAGAACGAAUAGCUUGGUACUGUAGGCUGCAGGAAGUAAGCCCGCUACACAUGCAAGACUCCAGCAGCUCCAACAAAACCUGUGAUAAAGAGAAAAAUAAUAAUAAUAAUCAUAAUAAUAAUAAUAAUAAUAAUAAUAAUAAUAAUAAUAAUAAUAGUAAUAGUAAUAAUAAUAAUAAUAAUAAUAAUGAUAAUAAUAAUAAUUAUUAUUAUUAUUGUUGUUGUUGUUGUUGUUGUUGUUGUUGUUAUUGUAGUUUUUGUUAUUAUUAUUAUUAUCAUUAUUAUUAUUAUUAUUAUUAGCAGCAGCAGCAGCAACAGCAGGAGCAGUAUUAUUAUUAUUAUUAUUAUUAUUAUUAUUAUUAUUAUUAUUAUUAGUAGUAGUAGUAGUAGUAGUAGUAGUAGUAGUAGUAGUAGUAGUAGUAGUAGUAUCAUAAUAAUCAUUGUUCAGAAAGUUGGGUUAUAUGUCAACUUAAAAGAACUUAACACCGCUAGUUAGUAAAUCCUUCGAUAACAAUUUUUUUGCUUCUUUUCUCUCGACAUUUGUCAAAAUAUCAUAAAGUAACAAACGAAACAAACACCAAAUAUGAGUGGAUAAAGAAAUAAACAAAUCAUUCAAAAAUAUGGAAUAAAAUAUGAAAAUGCUUGAAAUGUGUGGGAAAUGAGUGAAAACGUAGGAAGAUGGAUGAAAAGAGCAUGGAAAUGAGAAUAACAAAAAGUAAAUAAAUUAUAUACAUACAAGCACAAACACACAUACAUACACACAUACAUACACACAUAUACAUACAAAUAUAUAUACUUACAAAGAUUAUAUAUAUAUAUAUAUAUAUAUAUAUAUAUAUAUAUAUAUAUAUAUAUAUAUAUAUAUAUAUAUAUAUAUAUGUGUGUGUGUGUGUGUGUGUGUGUGUGUAUGUCUGUGUGUGUGUAUAUACAUACACAUAUAUGUAUAUAUACAGACACAUGCUCAUACAUAUAACAGUGUGUAAAAGUCUGUGUCUGCAUAUAUGUAUAUAUAUAUAUAUAUAUAUACAUACAUAUAUGCAGACACACACACUUUUACAUACUGUUAUAUAUAUAUGUAUAUAUAUGUAUGUAUGUAUGUAUGUAUGUAUGUAUGUAUGUAUGUAUGUAUUGUGUGUAUAUCAAAAUGAGUCAUACAAAUAGGAUACUCAAUGAUACAAAUACGACAAUGAAUGAUGUAAAUAUGAAAAUAAACGGUAGAAAUUUUCCCUAAAAAACAAAAAAAUAAAAAGACCCAAAAUCAUAUAAAACAAAACAAAAGCUUUAUACAACUACAAAAAUGCACGGUACAAAUAGGAGGACGACAGAAAGAAAAAUGCGAAAAUGAAUGUUGGAAAUACAGAAUACACACAAAGAAAAGAUAAAUGUAACAAGCAAUAUCUAAAUGAAACAACGAAAAGAAAUUAGACAAAUACGAAAAUAAAUUAUAGAAUUAGAAGAAAAAUGGAUGAUAUAAAUAUGGAAAUGAAGGGGAAAAAUACGGAAAUGAAUGAGAAACCCUUUAAUUGUCAAGCUGACAUUUCGACAUGCAUGAAAAACUUCAUAUUUUAAAGGGCUGAAAAUAGUACAGUAAUCCAGAUGACGUUUUUUUUUAAAAAUAUAUUUUGUUUUCCUUUCAUUAUAUCUAUCAACACAUCAUCUAUUUCGCAGCUUUGUUUAUGUGUGUAUGUAUGUAUGUAUGUAUGUAUGUAUGUAUGUAUGUAUGUAUGUAUGUAAUACGUAAAUAUACACGGACAUAAGUAUGCCUCUGUGUAUGUGCGUGUAUAGUUUGGGGGCGUAAGAAUGACAAACGAGAGAAACAGAACGUACUUAGCAGAAAUACGUAGCGUAUGGAGUUUAUUCAUUCUUUGGAUUUAGUUAUAGCUUUAUCCAGUCGCCCUCUCGAGCUUCCUUUCCUUAUUAGAGAUGUCAGUGUGUGCGCGUGUACAUACAUACAUACAUACAUACAUACAUACAUACAUACAUACAUACAUACAUACAUACAUACACAUAUUACAUACAUACACAUAUAACAUACCUACAUAACAUACAUGCAUGCAUACAUAUAUACAUACAUACAUACAUGCAUACAUACAUUCAUACAUACAUACAUAACAUACAUGCAUGCAUACAUACAUGCAUAAAUUCACACAUACAUACAUACAUACAUACAUACAUACAUUCAUACAUUCACACAUACAUACAUACAUACAUACAUACAUACAUACAUACAUACAUACAUACAAACUUACAUACAUACAUACAUACAUACAUACAGGCAUGCAUGGACUCAUGGGAUCGAAUACAGACAUGUUGAUAUAGAGGACUGUUCCUUGUCCCGAAUAAUGAAUACUAUUGCCAAACAUUUUUGCCAUUGAUACAAUCCUUGUAAAAGAAGUGGUUAUCUUCUUUGAGUAAAUGCAAAGAAAUAAUAUCUUUUGAAAAGAUUGUGGCAGUAAUCAAACAGUGAAAAAUUACGAUACACUCACCCUGGCGACAAAAGAACGUGGAGCUAACUAUUGCAGAUCGCGGAACUAACGGGGAAAAUUUUAGUGAACUUUCGCACUGAACCAGUUCUACGGAAAGGAUAGGGAAGAUCCCUCGAAAAGCUACGUUAAAAAACUUAAAGAUUAUUGGGAUACGAAAUAACCAACAUUCUCAAUAUUUUUAGAGAAACAAUUAUGCUAGCAAGCUACAUUGUUGAAACGAAAUAUACCAACCUACCAAACAAAAUCACUCAACCGAAAUGUACAAAUGAUAAUACUCGUAUUGACAACACAGUAAACUUUUUUUUCCGUGAAGAGACCGCGAAUGAUGAGAAACACGACCAAGAUGAACAUAGCAGUAUAAACCUGUCGCUACUCCACAGACACGUGGCAACAUUUACGAUCUCACAAAAAACUAGUGAAGACUAUAAAAUAUCAAAAUCACAGCUUGCAUCAAAGUUCAAGUAGAACUUCACUACUCUCAUACACAAGAUACUGUAUGAGAGAUGGAUACCGACCAGGAGUUGGGAAAAAAAAUUCACCGAGCUGAUGCUAUCUGCGAUCGGCGAAAUUGCGAGAGAACAACUAGCUCAAAUUCAAACUCUCAAUUUUUGGACAAUAAAUGUUCUGCUAUAUCGAGACACAAUAACUGUAGACCAACAGAUGGGUGUAAAAGCGACCGAGCCAAAUGCUGUAUUGAUCUAAAAUGAUCUAAAAUGUGUCGGUCACCAAUAUACUGCAAAUAGAUUAUGCUGCUCUGCCUUCGGUACACUACCGCUAAUAUCUUCAUCUACAUUCACAUAUUUAUGCAGCAUUUGUAACGUUUUCCUUAUCCUUAAUCAUUCAAAAUGCUACCAGAGUUUGAGAAAUACAUUUAAUUUACUAAAAUACUGGUCUAAAAUGGAUUACCUUCUUCCAAAAUGACAACAAUGCAGUAAUCUCUUAAUGAUAUGACUUGACUACGAGGCGUCCGACUCUGACCCACACUCAUGUAUAAUAGAAUCACUACAUCUUGCCAAAGUAUCAGUUACAUAGUGAAUCCCAUUGAAAGAUUGACCACAAUAUGGUCCACACAGUUAUAACUGACAACUACUAAAGCAGCACCUAUUGUUACAAGCAGAAGUAAACUAUCAACAGGCUUAUGCUAGAAUGAUAGCUUCUCACUAACGUUGUUUGUGUAGUGGCAGUGAACUCCUUGUCAGCCUAUUAACAACCCUUUGCCAUGUACCCAAAGUUAUAUAUCAGGAUUUGAAGAGAAGAAUAAACUUAAUACUCUUUUACUCUUUACUCUUUUACUUGUUUCAGUCAUUUGACUGCGGUCAUGCUGGAGCACCGCCUUUUAGUCGAGCAGAUCGACCCCGGGACUUAUUCUUUGUAAGCCCAGUACUUAUUCUAUCGGACUCUUUUGCCGAACCGCUAAGUGACGGCGACGUAAACACACCAGCAUCGGUUGUCAAGCAAUACUAGGGGGACAAAUACAGACACACAAACACAUACACACAUAUAUAUACAUAUAUACGACGGGCUUCUUUCAGUUUCCGUCUACCAAAUCCAUUCACAAGGCAUUGGUCGGCCCGGGGCUAUAGCAGAAGACACUUGCCCAAAAUGCCACGCAGUGGGACUGAACCCGGAACCAUGUGGUUGGUAAACAAGCUACUUACCACACAGCCACUCCUGCGCCUAUAGCCACUCCUGCGCCUAUAGCCACUCCUGCGCCUAUGUCACCCACACAUUUUUAUUGACAGACUAAAGUUAAAUUCUGGUAACAUGAACAACAUCAAGAAAUAAUAAGAACAAGUCACAAUAGGAAUGGAGUUUAGGCACGAUAGGAAUGGAGUUUAGGCACGAUAAAUGCUCAUACAUGAUAGUCAAACGGGGAAAGUACAUAUACAUCAAUGACUUGUCUAUCUCUCCUAUUUCUAAUGAUGAAAACUAUAAGUAUCUCGGAAUCAAUCAGAAUGUUGCGUAUGUUGGUGCUGUGAUUAAAGCCAGAAUUACAAAGCAGUACUUUUGUAAUUUCCAGGAAAUGUGGAACUUAGAGGUGUCUGCAUUUAACAACACCGUAUCUCACAAUUUUUUUGCAGUGCAAGUCCAGUGUCCACAUUUGAGAUAUUGGACUGGGCGUUUGACGAGAUCUGCAACCUGGACAUGAAAACUAGGAAGGUAUUAGCUGCUACUCGUAACUUCCACAUCAAGAGUGGCACCAAUAGGAUCUACGUGAGACGAAGUGAUGGCGGUAGAGGCAUAAAGUCAGUCCAAACAGCCUUUCAAUGUCGCACUGAAUCACUCAGACAACACCUGCUGAACAGUAAAGAAAUGAGUAGAUUACAUGCAUACUCAAAAAUGAGAGCAGCUGUGGUAAGUAGAGAUGGGUAAGUAGAGAUGGGGAAGAACUACAGUGCAGGUACAUUGAGAAUACAACUGUCUCAUGCGACCCAAAGGAAGCUGGAUUGGCUUACUUAAACAGGCGCUUGAAGCAGAAACAGGCAUCAUACCAGCAAAAUCCAAUGCAUGGGUGCAUAUUCUAUUAGCUGGAGGAUAAUAAGAGUGGUGGAAGCACUCCGUCGGUUACGACGACGAGGGUUCCGGUUGAUCCGAUCAACGGAACAGCCUGCUCGUGAAAUUAACGUGUAAGUGGCUGAGCACUCCACAGACACGUGUACCCUUAACGUAGUUCUCGGGGAUAUUUAGCGUGACACAGAGAGUGACAAGGCCGGCCCUUUGAAAUACAGGUACAACAGAAACAGGAAGUAAGAGUGAGAGAAAGUUGUGGUGAAAGAGUACAGCAGGGAUCACCACCAUCCCCUGCCGGAGCCUCGUGGAGCUUUAGGUGUUUUCGCUCAAUAAACACUCACAACGCCCGCUCUGGGAAUCGAAAUCGCGAUCCUACGACCGCGAGUCCGCUGCCCUAACCACUGGGCCAUUGCGCCUCCACGAUAAUAAGAGUAACCACAGGAAGAGUAUCCUCUCCUGGAUCUGUGAUAAAUACGUUACAUCCCGCCUGGAAGGAUAUGCCUUCACUAUACAGGAACAGGAGAUAACUGCUAAAUAGCUGAUAAACAAGAAAGAGGUAAAUAUACCACCAAACCUUCACGUUGUAAAAAGAUGUCGGGUCUGCUAUAUCAAUCAGUAUGGAAGAUAUUGCCCACAUCAUCAGUAGUUGCCUCCAAAUGUCUUCAAGAUACUAUCUGCCCCUGAUACUACCUGUCUCAGUCGAAUAUACUACGCUAAAGAGUUAAAACGAUAGCGAAAUAUCGAUAUCCGUCUUUCUUGUUCACCUUCAGGCUGAGUCGUCUCACCUGAUCUAAGGCAUUAAGUUUUCUUUAAGACUCGGCGUCCUGUAGUGACGUUUCUCAGGACGCUCAUAUAUAUACACACACACACACACACACACAUAUAUAUAUAUAUAUAUAUAUAUAUAUAUAUAUAUAUAUAUAUAUAUAUAUAUAUAUAUAUAUAUAUAUAUAUAUAUAUACAUAUAUACAUAUAUACAUAUAUACAUAUAUAUAUAUAUAUAUAUAUAUAUAUAUAUAUAUAUAGAGAGAGAGAGAGAGAGAGAGAGAGAGAGGGGGAGAGAAAGAAAGGGGAAAAUAAAUUUUGUGACCAGAGUUUAGUUUUCGAUCUAUCACUGAGUAUUUCUGUUAUAUUUAUAUGUUGUUGAGUUACAGUGUGUUCCAAAAAGAAACUGGAUACUUUAACACUCAUUAAAGUAGUAACUUGCUACACACAUGCACAAACGUAUGAAAUGUAUGUGUAUGCAUACGGUUCUAUUUGGAGCUCAUCACUGCCACGAGGUAUUUAGUUAGGAAUCACGAAUGUUUCUUUAAUACAGACUAAACAACAGCAAGAAAUCCGAAUAGAUGCUUUAGAUCUUAUGUCCUAUUGUUCUGGACUAUGAAACUGCUGAAAUUGACUUUGUUUAAUCUUUUUAAUCGCCCUGAGGUCGAUAAAUUAAUACGCUUGGGAUAAAUUCCAUUGUCUAAAUAAAUCAUAAACAAAUCUUUAAGUAUCUUGAAUAAAUUAAAUUAGAUUAAAUUAAAUUAAAAAUAUCAUUAGUAAAUUAAAUGUAUUUCUCAAACUCUGGUAGCAUCUUGAAUGAUUAAGUAUAAAGAACAUAUGACAAAUGUGGCAAAAAUAUGUGAAUGUAGAUGAAAAUAUUAGAAGUCGUCUACCGAAGGCAGCAGAGCAUAAUUUAUUUGCAGUAUAUUGUUGACCGAUACACACACUCACAGACACACACAUAUAUGCAUGCAUGCACAUACGUAAAAACAAUACACACACACACUCCCACUAAAAUGUAUGUCCCUAAAAAUGUAUUAACUUUACAUCGGUACAAUUUCUCUGAAAUUCAAAUUAUAUAAUUUGAAUUUUGAAAGACAAAUGUGUAAGUUAUGAAUUACCAUAAAUGUUCCAACUGAUGGCACUUGACAAUGCAAACCGAUAGAAAUGUGAGCAGAACAAAUAAUUUCAAUUGUUAUCUGGGCGCAUUCGCCAUCCAAAAUUGCUUUCAUUUCAUUAAUUGGAGUCAAUUUAAAAAAAAAAAUAUUCAUUAGCGUGUAGUCUGUUGAGUGCGGUGUUAUUUAAUACUACCUUGUGAAAAUCGUCUGUUUGGCAGAAUACCAUCAAAAGUGGCAUUCACCAGACUACACGCCAAUGGACAUUCUUCAAAAACGGUACCAAUAAAUGAAAUUAAUGAUGGAGAAUGUUCCCAGAGAACAACUGAAAUUAUUUGUGGUACUCACAGCUCCAUUGACUCGCAUUUCCAGCAGCGUAUAGACCAUAACACCAAUAGUUGGAGAGUCGGAACACUUAAGAUAAUUCUGAACUUACACAUUUGCCGUUUUAAUUUGAUUUACAUUCUUAAACGCAUGACGAUGGUAGUAUCCCUAUUUUGUUACAAAUAAAACUCUCCUUCAUCUCAAACAUCUUUCGAAUGUAAUGUAUAGUAAGACGAUGUUCUACCUCAAGUUCAAACAAUUGGCAUCAGUCACAGUGUUGCUCUCUCUCCCUCCCUCCCCCCUCUCUCUCUCUCUCUCUCUCUCUCUUCUGUAAUAUGUAGAUAAUCAGUUUCUCAGAAGCUGCAACUCAGAGGUUUCUUAGCGAUGUUAAUUGAAUUAAAUUCCUGAUGUACCUCUCGUUUGUUACAACAAUGGUCUUCUUUGCUCAUGUCUCUGCUACAGAUAUAGAAGAGAAUCGGAACUCGGCAUGAAUAUCUAACGAAACAUUUGUAGAAUAUACAGUAUCUCGUUGCUUACAUGAGAGAGUAGUAGCACUUUGGGAAUAUUCGUUGCAUGUACAGCAGUGACAGUCUCGACUCGUGUAGCAUGUAUUUAUCAAGAUAUUACCUUUGCCGGUUGUCAGAAGUUGCUCUAAUUGUUUAUAAACCCAUGAUAAAAUAGCCUCACUUCCUCAAUUCAUUUCUUUUGUUUCAUGGCUGCAUUUUCUUCUAAUUUCAUUUAAAACUUGUGUCACAAAAAUUAUUCGAUCGUAAUUAUCCUAAGUGUUGGAACUAGUUUAAAAAGUCAUUGUCUUAUCUUUACGCAAUUUAACUUCUAAACCAUACGAACUUUCUUCAGUCUUUUAUCGACUAUAAGACAGUACUCUGACAAUUCUGGUCAUGUAGACUUCUUUUGUUACCAUUUUAUUCUGUCGUAAUGUUUUUAUCUUUUUCCUCUUUCUGAGGUAUUUUGUUUGUUUGUUGCAAUCUCUUUGAAUACGUUUCCGUUUUAACAUUUUUUAACCUACCUUGUCAUACAAAACUAUUUAUUUUAAUUUCAAUAUGUUGUUUUACCAUAUGAAUUAAAAUAUUCUUUGGUGUAGGAGUGGCUGUGUGGUAAGUAGCUUGUUUACCAACCACAUGGUUCCGGGUUCAGUCCCGCUGCGUGGCACCUUGGGCAAGUGUCUUCUACUAUAGCCUCGGGCCGACCAAAGCCUUGUGAGUGGAUUUGGUAGACGGAAACUGAAAGAAGCCCGUCGUAUAUAUGUAUAUAUAUAUGUAUGUGUGUUUGUGUGAGUGUGUUUGUCCCCCUAGCAUUGCUUGACAACCGAUGCUGGUGUGUUUCUGUCCCCGUUACUUAGCGGUUCGGCGAAAGAGACCGAUAGAAUAAGUACUGGGCUUACAAAAAGAAUAAGUCCCGGGGUCGAGUUGCUCGAUUAAAGGCGGUGCUCCAGCAUGGCCGCAGUCAAAUGACUGAAACAAGUAAAAGAGUAAAGAGUAUAAACCUUUUGUUUUAUCAGAGCCAACAUUUCUGCAUGCAACAACACAGAAUGACGUAGAGUCUAGACUUGUUGAAAACAAUAAGAUUUUAGAGAAUAGCUGUAUUUCUGCAUUUACGAGCGAAGUGCAAACAGCUGCAACCGAUUCCAAGUUGACUCAGGACACGUUUAGGUUCUAAUUCAAUAAUCAACACAAUAACGGUUUCAUUGGGAUUUGCUUCUGUAUAACAUCAAUUCAAAAGAGACCAAGAAGUGUUAGCAUACAGCUUUGUUAGAUUUUUUUUUUAAACCAGCCAACACUUCUUUACCUGAUCAUUGAUUGUUUCAUACUGACAUUGUAAAAAAGUGUACUGUUUCUCACACACACGAGCAUAAAAUACUCUACUCACGCAUAAACAUAUACACACAUACACGCACUAUUCUUCAUCACCUGGCUAAAUAUCUAAUUAAUGUUGAAUUAAAGCACAGUGAAGAGAAUUAACCUGAAUAUAUCAUUGGUACUUACUUGACACCAGUGUUGCCAUUUAAUGUGUGAUUUUACACACUUUGUUUAUUGUUUUUCAGUAUUUGCUCUUUCUGCCAAUGUUUAAUUUCUCUGUCGUUUUACUAAAAUGUAUGAAAGACACAUAAAUGAAACGAAAGGGAUUUACCUUUACAAACUCGAUUUACUGGAACCUUGCCACCACGCUAUUUUCACAGCUAUAUGCAUAUACUUAGCUUUCAGGGGGCAAGUUAUUGUAGUUGGACAGGAUACAACGUGGUAUUCGUUCUCGAUGUCUGAGUUCUAAGUUCAAACCCUGCCGAGGAUAACGUCGCCUAUCAUUCUUUUGAGGUGGAUAAGUACUAGGCUUGUGCUGGGCUAGAUUCUUCUCUUUCUUUCUUUCUUUCUUUCUUUCUUUCCCCCUCUUUCUUUCCCCCUCUCUCUUUCUCUCUCCCUGUUUGUCUCUCUUUCUCUCUGUUUGUCUCCCUCCUCGUUUCUUUCGUAGAAAAAUCCGCAAUAGUCAGACAUGGACUGGGAUAAAUUCCUACAUGUUUGAAAUGUUCAUAUCACGCCUUAUAUUACGACUCCAUCAGAAAUUGUGGACCGAAGGAAGGAUGAAGAAAGUAAGGAAAUUCCUAUUUGCCUCAGUGGCAUUGUCUUUCUAAUAGUCUGUUAUAUCUAUGGCGAGGCGCAAUGGCCCAGUGGUUAGGGCAGCGGACUCGCGGUCAUAGGUUUACGGUUUCGAUUCCCAGACCGGGCGUUGUGAGUGUUUAUUGAGCGAAAACACCUAAAAGCUCCACGAGGCUCCGGCAGGGGAUGGUGGUGAUCCCUGCUGUACUCUUUCACCACAACUUUCUCUCACUCUUAGUUCCUGUUUCUGUUGUACCUGUAUUUCAAAGGGCCGGCCUUGUCCCUCUCUGUGUCACGCUGAAUAUCCCCGAGAACUACGUUAAGGAUGCACGUGUCUGUGGAGUGCUCAGCCACUUACACGUUAAUUUCACGAGCAGGCUGUUCCGUUGAUUCGGAUCAACCGGAACCCUCAUCGUCGUAACCGACGGAGUGCUUCCUUUUAUAUUCAGGCUGAACAAUUUUAGUCGAUAGCUAUAUCACAUUUCAUCAACCAAUAUAGGAGAAACUCUAAACGUGUUCCGCUUUGUUGAGAUCUUACGGGCAAAUGUCACAUUUCUGUAACGUGCCAAAAAGUUGCCCGGCUAUUAGCUAAAUAAACAUAUUAAAUCAAGCAGAGUGAAGGGUAAUAUUGACAAAAUAAAUAAUUACGAGACGUUAAUAUCUGCAAGGUAAUUUUCAGCAUGCUAAUUAAACAGUUGUAACAUGGUACAUAUAUCAGUACAACAAUACAUCUUAUAAUAAUAUGCUAUAAUAAUAAAGCACAAUAAUACAUCUUAUAAUAAUAUGCUAGACAGGAGUAUUAUAUAAGUGUAUACACAUCCUGCAGCAUAACUGUACUGGAUAUGAACUCAAUUAAUGCGUGCACCGUUGAAUCCAUAUCUAUCAAAAAGCAUUUCAUUGUAUCUCUCAGUAGGAUGUAGGACACUUGUUCUUAUAAUAUCCGAGUCCAAACAAACUAUGGAGAUUAGGUAUUGAUUUUUCUUUUGCGAGGUGGAAGGAGAUGACUAUCAUAAACUGGCGGCCCAUCCAGUGGCGAAAUGCACCUCUUUCGCUUAAUGUUACGAAGCGUAAUCUCGAUGUUGCAUUCUUCUCCAAAUCUGGAUUUUUGAGAUACAUGAAAAGAUUAGAUUUUAAAAUUUAUUCUCUUGCAGUUUUGAUUUCAUACACAUUUCCCCCCCUCCUCACGUCAAACAAUUCUCUAUUCUGCUGUUUAAGAAGUUUGUCUUGGUCUCUCCUGUUAACACAAUCAAUGGAAAUCACACGAUCGUAUGCCAACUCUUCUAUCUUACCUGAAUGGGUUUUCAAAUUUUGAUAAUACCAAUGAUCAUCAGUUCUCCUGAGCUGCUUCAAUCAUCAACUAAUGUUCUUUAAACCGUAUCGCUCGCUCACAAACGCCAUCAGCAAUUCAAGUUGUCUACAAAUGAAAUAAAUUUCCCUUCAAUAGGGGAACACCACAAUGCCGUCGAAUGUUCAUUAGCAACGUGUCAAAUCAUAUAAAAGGGACAACACUGCUUCUUCGAAAGAAUGAUAUGGGACAGACUGCACAAUAAAUUCUAUGAUAAAGCUAUAAAUCUUUAAGUUGUUACGGAAGCUGCCUCUUGCCAUUCCUGUCAUAAGAGUAUAGGCAAUACAUCAUAUAUCUAUACUAGAUUUGAAUACACAUACAUCCUUUUAUAGUUACCUAUCUAUCUGCACACACACACACACACACACACACACACACACACACAUAUGUAUGUAUAUAUAUAUAUAUAUAUAUAUGCAUUUGUAUGUAAGUACGCAUAAAUGUAUGGAUAAAUGUGUGUGUAUGUAUGCAUGUAUGUAUGAAUGUAUGUAUAAAUAUAUGUAUAUGUAUAUAUAUAUAUAUAUAUAUAUAUAUAUAUAUAUAUAUAUAUAUGUAUGUAUAUAUAUAUAUAUAUAUAUAUAUAUAUAUGUAUGUAUAUAUAUUUUAUGUGCAUAUGAACGGACUGGUACACAUACAAAUGAAUAGAAAAAUACAUCGAUAACUAUAUGUGUUAUAUAAAGAUAUUUUCACAAAUUAACAUAUAUAUUCGUGAUCUGUGUGAGUGCAUUUGUGUAAGCGUGGAAGUGCAUACGUAUUUAUGUGUGUAAAAUGUAUGUGAAUAUACGUCCAACGAUACAUUUAAUGUAAUUUAUGUAUUUCCAUAAUUGGCGUUCAUUUGUACGUAUGUAUGCAUAUGUAGUAUGCUGCUAUAAUAUCUAAUUACUUCCUACCAAAUAAGGUUGGUUGGCUUAUGAACUAGUGUGCUAGCUUCGUAUUUAGUCCAGCAGCGAUAACAGAAUACAAACUGUUAACCUGCCGACUUUGUGUAAAUUUGCGGCAUUCAGUGAAGCAGUGACUCACUCACUCGCGCAUAAUCUCGCACCCUCUCAAUCAUUCAUUUAUAUACACGUGUAUCAACUUAUAUCAAAUAGAUUUCUUGCAAUGAUAUUCUGUAUUCUGAUUCAAGCUGGAAAACUAAUGUAUGUUACUUUGAAAAAUAUAUAUAUCUAAAACACACACUAAUGUUGCGAAUCAGCAAAUAAGCAGGGGAAAUCAUAAGAUAAUCGAAUAUUCCAACAUAUUUGAUGUAAUUAGCCAUAAGCAUCUUUUAUCGGAAUGAGUGACAGUUAAAACUACAAUUGACAUGAUGGCUGUCUGUAUGCUAGUCUGCACACAAUUUAUAUCUAAACUUGGAAAAGAAACAGUAACUGGUAUGGAACCAGUGCUAUUAACCUUGCAAUGAACCAUAGCACCCUCCAAUAUUACAGCCAGCAUGUUAUUCUAAUGCAUACAUAUACCUGUCUAUCAGCCAUUCCUGGUUUGUUAAUAAGUCAGAAGUGUAUAACAUGGGUUGCAUUGUGGUUCUGUGUGCGUGUGAGUGAAUUAUUCUGAGGUGUAUGUUGGUCACAAAAUAAGAAAAAAAAAGAGCAUAAUUCUUUUAUUAUAAAGAAUUGAGAUAUAAAUUAUAGUUUUUGGAUAAAAAUUAUAAAUGAUGUAUAGAAGUUACACCAAUAAAUAUUCCAGGCAAUAAAUAUUCCAAUAACCAUAGAAAUGAUGAGAGUGUAUUGUAAAAUGGUAUGAAGAGCAAAAAAAGAAGAUAUUAUAUUCAAGAAGUCAUCGCUAUAGGAAUUUUAUUCUUAUAAAAGAUCAGUAUAUUAUAAAACUGUUGCGGUAUUGUUGAUAGUUUACUUUCGACAUGAAGUACACUUCGCUGGACGAGGUUAUUCACGUAAGAGCGUUGAGAAAACCUCCACUGAAAAUAAUGAGACUGGUGAGCAUCAUUCCCUAUAAACAUUAUUGGGAUAGAAUAACUACAAGAAACGCCCAUCUAGCAGGUAGAAGGAUUGACCUUCCUACCAACUAAAAGUUGUGUAUAGAUCUUUAUUCCACAAUUCGGAAAAGCAGAGUAGCUUCUGUUAGGUAAAUAUCAACGGAAAGGUCUCAUGUCCUGAUAGCUGCACAUAUGUAAUUAUCUAACCCUCCUUAGAUAUUUCAAUUAACAUACGCCCUGUUUUAGUACGAAUUAAGUCGUGUUCUAUGUAAAACUGGCAUGUACGCACCCAUGAGUGUGUGUGUGUGUGGUUAGAGCUCUGAUAAACAGAUACCUGCUAGUGGUAACCAUGCUGGAGCCGUUUUGGGUUAAGCGGUACCUCACUGAUCUUGCUUGAUGAGAACAGUGAUAUUAGGGCAUCUUGUGGAAUGAAAAAGAAAAUCUGUAAUAAAGGCGGAUGAACUCAAGGAAUCGGCAACCAUCUAGUAGUAUAAACUUUUAUAGAUCUAUGUGUGCAUUCGCAUGUUUUCAAUUUCACUGCAAACCAGCACCGAUUCAACUUUCUGGCUAUCUUUACUGUUUCCAGUAUAACGGUGUUUAUCACAUAAAAAUUUAUCGCUAUAAAAAUUGAUGUACUAGUGCUAUUGCCGUCGUUUCAUCUUCCCAAGCUCAUAUCAAGACUCGGACUAUUUGGACCUUUCUUUGAAGCGGUAGGAGGUAAAAUAAGAUCAAAUAACAACAUAAGAACACUAUAGUAAGGAAACAAGAACUGUUUCACUGUCAUGAAGGGCAAAAACAACUGUUAUCUGCUGCAGUAUUUGGAAUUCUCAAUUCCGUUUUGAAGGAUAUCAUUAACGUCCCAUCAGAUACUAUACGCUAUAAAUGAUAAUUUUUUUCCGAAUAGACAUGAUGCCACACAUUCCAAGUUGAGAUAUUUAUCAUUUUCCAAAGACAUUAUAAAUGAUAAAGACAUUGUAGUCUAGUUCAAAUGAUAGUUUCGAUAACCAGUGGUACUUAUAAAUGAAAGUAAAAAUCUUUUUCACUAUUGUUAUUGCUUUGGAGAGUUUGCUCACUAAUCGAAUGGAUCACUGGUUUUCAAGCAUUUCUUAUCUGGACCCCUUUGAUUAUUAUUUUACUCUGGUGGACCCCCAUAUCCAUUCGCUGUUUAAAAACUAGUUUCAUAGAUACUAUUUUUCAGAAUUUCUACUUUGUUUUUCACACGUUCACUUUUAUAACUUUGCAAUAGCACUCUCUGAGAGAACAAGUCUCAGUGGCUACAGAAAUGGUGAACUAAAAUAUAAUAAAAAAACAACCUAACUGUUUCUCGCAAUAAAUUCAUCUAAAUCAAAAAUUUUCGACGGAUAUUUAAAAUACUACUGUAGAUACUCAAUUUACUCUUUUGCUUGCUUGGACCACUAAAAAUCUUAAAUGAACCUCCAGGAGUCAUAUGGAAGACGGUUGGGAACCACUGGAAUAAAUCUAGGGUUAAAGAUGUUCUGUGAUCAUCUUUUCGAAUAUAUUUAUUUUUAUUGUGAAGAUGAUAUGUUUGGAUACGAAAGCGAUUUGGUUCCUGUUUCUAGCAUGUCAAUCGAUCUGACAGAGGUUCCCUAUGAGAGGGAUUUGUAUAAGCUAUAAAAUUUCAUCCUAUAUACUGUUGUUAAUUGUUGGUAAUUUCCAGCAUCUACACACUUCUUUUUCAUAAGAGAUGCGAAUGAAAAGAUAAAUCUGGUUAGAAUAAAUUUAACAUAUAUAUAUACAUAUAUAUAUAUAUAUAUAUAUAUAUAUAUAUAUAUAUAUAUAUAUAUAUAUACGUACGUAUUGUGUGUGUGUGUGUGUGUGUGUGUGUGUGUGUGGUUUAUUGCUUGGCUCUAUAUUGGAUCCAAUCGAGCAAAUCUUUGAUCAAAAGGAGUCCAGACGUACAUGUUUUAUAUUUUACCUUCGAACCACAUCCACCGUUGCCUAUUCCACCUUUAAUGUAACAGUAGAGUGUGUUUAGGGGGAAGAUGUGGUUGUUAUUUUUAGCUUAUCGAGUGAGCACAUUGGUUUGUCGAUCUAGUUUGUUGGAAUAAGAAACUGUCAUCAACUGAAAUCAUCCAAGUAAUUAGUAACCAAAAACUGAUGAAAGCAAAUGGACAUUACUGAGCAAAGCAUAACCUGAUCCAUUGGUACGACUAAGAAUGAUCAAUAUACACAAAUAUCUGGAAGAUAUAGGGACGUUGUUUUGACAAUAUUGUUGAGCUAAAAGGCCUCUGGUGAGCGUUCUGUACACUAAAUACAAAUCCGGUGGCGUCUCAUAUGUCGACCAUUUAAUCUUAUUUGAUCUUCAGAAUAGGAGUAGUUCAUAAAAAAACCCGCCAAACUCGGUUUUCGUGCCUAUCCUCAUUCAUUGUCAUAAACGUUGAGUCAUGGACCAAAAGAGUUCGAUCGCGAACACAGGCAGCAGAAAUGGGUUCCUCCGAAUGAUCUCAGGGUUCCCGCUACUCGACAGGGUGUGUAACUCUGUGACCAGUGACGCUGUCAACAUCGAGCCUACACAUUGAUUUGUAACAGCUCUGGUACUGCGGACAUGUACCAACUGGCAGGAUACCUAGGGGGAGAAUAUGAACGAGAUAGGUGGACAAUAUCCAUACCCUCAGUUCGUAACGAUUGAAAAUCCAUCUGAACAGUGUAAAGACUGUUGCUUCUGAUAGGUGCUUAUGGAAGAGGUACCUGAGGACUCUACGAUAAUCCUAGGAAUAGUAGGAGGAGUAGAUGGAUAGAUGGAUCUUAUCGGUAUUAUCUCUUAUGCUUGCUGAUUUGCAAUAUUAAACAUCUAGCCUUAUUCGCCUUUCACAUUGUAUUGGAUUACUGCCUGCAGAGUGAGUUUGAGGUUUGGGUGAGGUCAGUAUGGAGUUCAUACAUCUGCAGCAAGGUAGGGACAGAAAGUGGGACUGACAUGGGCGGUUUAUUUUUAAAUCAGGUGUGGGCAUGUGCGUGUGUAUGUAUGUGUAUGUUCGGAAAAGGUUACAUAUAUUGGAUGAGGCAGACUUUCUGCUGGAGGCCCCGGUUGUGAAGGUGGGAAGUACUUAUGGGGAAAGCUCUAAAGUGGAGAAUAUUGGAGAGAUAUAAACCUUGUUUCAAUAGCAGUAGGAGGUGUUUGUUAUGACUGUCAGGGAAAGGAAUAUCAAAGAACUUUCUUUAUGCCGAUAUCUACAUAAACUAUAAAAGCAAAAUUUUCCGAUCCUGCCCACACGAAAGAAAAUAUAUACUCACACCGAUGGAUUGGAACCUUAGAGAUUCCACUGUCAUGUUUUCCCAUCCUCACAGUCUGAGAUGCCACACACAACAUAUCACAUACAAACGCUCGCAUACAUCUCACAGGUGCAUUCUCAAGCAUGAUUAAAAGAUUGGUUACCUGCCUCGUCACCUCUUUUUUGAACCCCACCACCUCCUGUACAUACAUCAACUCCAAACCGCUCGCAUUCAAGUCCCAAACCCAGUCUGCAGGUAGUUACCCAUAACUAUGUAGAUACUCUGAUCUUAAUGCAAGGGACAUAACUCAAAAGGAAUUCCUCACUGAAGUUCUACGAGAUUUUUCGUUCCGGUUUUCACUACUCUCGUCAACCGGAUGAGGCACCUUAUAACCUUCAGCGGCAGAAAACCGUCAUCAUACUUUUUCUAAUAUCGCUUCUCGUAAUCACCGGGAUUCAGAUUUUCUCUUUAACUCUCGUGUGCGAAACUGAUCUGCAUAAUCGGAUGAAAUGGGUCUCUAAUAAUGUAUUGUAAAAACAUACAUACAUACAUACAUACAUACAUACAUACAUACAUACAUACAUACAUACAUACAUACAUACAUACAUACAUACAUACAUACAUACAUACAUACAUACAUACAUACAUACAUACACACAUACAUACAUAAAUGCAUGUAGUGUCCAGGUCAGUCUGGAACAGGAUAGAAAAAAAGAAAACACCCACUGAUAAAGUUGACCAUAUUGAAACCGGUGGGUCAGAAGAAUAUUACUGGAGUUUAAAUAUUAAAGCAGCUACCAAUUUAAAACGCAACCGGCCAGAUAUUGGUCAUCAGUAGAGACUUCAUACUUGAAAUCUUCAAAGCCACAGUCGAACUAAUUCUACUAUAUGGCUCAGAAACCUGGACGUUAUCAAAGAAGCUUGAGAGGCGGUUGGAGGGAACCUACACUCGCCUCCUUAUGAAAGCUCAAAAUCUCUCGUGGAAGCGCCAUCCAACCAAAAUGCAAAUAUAUGGGAAACUACCACCUGUGUCAUCUCUUGUGAAAGGUAGGAGAGUCCAGUUUGCUGGACAUUGUUGUAGAGCUGAAAAAGAGGUAAUUUCUACUCUUCUCCUCUGGAAGCCAUCUACUCGCAAUACCAGAGGGCGCACACUCUCCUACCCUGAUGUAAUCUCCCGGGAUACAGGCAUCCAGCAACAGGACCUCCGUAAUGCCAUGAUGGACCGUGAAGUCUGGCGUAGCAGGGUAAAUUCCAUUGUAUCGACCACGGUCGAACAAUGAUGAUGAUGAGAUAUUGUUAUGUGAACCGCAUAGAAAAGAUAUGUUCUUUUGUAGAAAUCCGCUACCCUCUGGACACCAAUGUGGUUAAAAGAAUACAAGAGGAAGAGAACAUCCAUGGACCAUUGAUGAGAAGUUUGCAGCUUCAUAUCUAUCUAUUAUUAUUAUUAUUAUUAUUGGAGCAACAGGAUACAUUCCAACAAACCUGAAGCAAAGUAUGGCUAAACUUGGGAUCUUGGGAAGAGAAAGCAUAUCCUUAAUUAAUAUGCCACAGAUGUCACGAUAUCUGCAAGACCUUAAAGAUUUCGAGGAUGAUGGUUAAAACAAGAUGCUUUCCUUCACAACCUUGCUACCCAGGAGGGGCCUGCCAAAAUUUAUUCAAAAUUUAUUCUAAAUUAUAAACAUACAUACAUACAUACAUACAUACAUACAUACAUACAUACGUACGUACAUAUAUGCACAAACAUACACACAAACGCAUGCACACGCACACACACACAUACAUGUACCUGUGUGUGUGAGUGUGUGCUCGCGCGUCUGUGUGUGUGUGUGUGCGCGCGCAUAUCCACUUAUGUAUGUAUGUAUGUAUGUGUAUGUAUGUAUGUAUGUAUGUGUGUAUGUAUGUAUGAAUGUGGGUAUGUAUGUAUGUAUGUGUAUGUAUGUAUGCAUGUAUGUGUGUGUAUGUAUGGAUGUAUGUAUGUAUGUAUGUACGUAUGUAUGCGUGUAUGUAUAUAAUCAUUUCUAGCAUAGGUACAAAACUACAUAUUUUGAGGAAGAAUAUUCCUUUAUUUCACUCAUAUGUUAAUUUAUCAAAUCUUCAGAAAGAAGAGUUGAUCUGAGCGGGAUUUGAACUCAUUGCGUAUAGAGCCGUGACUAAAUGCCACAAAACAUUUUCCUUACCGAAUUAACUCUACUGACAAUCCAACGCCCUUUACAGUAAUAAAUUCAAUGCAACAGCCUCGCUUUCAUAUUUCUCCAAGCUGUUGCUAGUGGUUACAUCACAAUGAUUUAAUAGCGACAGCAGCAGCAGCAUGUUAAAGUAUUUGGUGUAUGUUUUCACGUGUGUUCGUGUGUGUGUGUGUCUGGUGGUAUGCGUUUGUAUGUAUGUAUGUCUGUGUGUAUGUAUGUAUGUAUGUAUGUAUGUAUGUAUGUAUGUAUGUAUGUAUGUAUGUAUGUAUGUAUGUAUGUAUGUGUAUGUAUGUAUGUAUGUGUGUAUGUAUGUAUGUGUGUGUAUGUAUGUAUGUAUGUAUGUGUGUGUAUGUAUGUAUGUAUGUAUGUAUGUAUGUAUGUAUGUAUGUAUGUAUGUGUAUGUAUGUAUGUAUGUAUGUGUGUGUGUAUGUAUGUAUGUAUGUAUGUGUGUGUGUGUAUGUAUGUAUGUAUGUAUGUAUGUGUGUGUGUGUAUGUAUGUAUGUAUGUAUGUAUGUAUGUAUGUAUGUAUGUAUGUAUGUGUAUGUAUGUAUGUAUGAAUGUGUGUAUGUAUGUAUGUGUGUGUAUGUAUGUGUGUGUAUGUAUGUAUGUAUGUAUGUAUGUGUGUGUAUGUAUGUAUGUAUGUAUGUAUGAUGUAUGUAUGUAUGUAUGUAUGUAUGUAUGUAUGUAUGUAUGUGUGUGUUGUUGUUGGUGGUGGUUGUGUUGGUGGUGGUGGUGGUGGUGGUGGUGGUGGUGGUGGUGGUGGUGGUUGUGUUGGUGGUGUGUGGUGGUGGUGGUGGUGGUGGUGGUGGUUGUGGUGGUGGUGGUUGUGUUGGUGGUGGUGGUGGUGGUUGUGUUGGUGGUGGUGGUGGUGGUGGUGGUGGUGGUGGUGGUGGUGGUUGUAGGUGAUGGCGUUAAAAGUGGACAUUCAAAACAAGCAGGCAGAUAAGCCAUUGCUGUAAUUCAGAGCCGCUCUGGAAUAAUAAAGUGAUGGAUGUUAAGAUCCACAAAUUAUUAAUGAGUAGAAUAUAUCACCAAAAAGUCACUGCGCACCACAUGUGUGCACAUACACUCAAACAUGCAGCACACUACAUCAACGCACUUAUGCACGGGAACAUGUGCAGGCAUAUAUAAACUUCCAUACACAGACGAGCACGCGCUGCUACGUACAUUUACGCACUUGCGUAUUAAUGCAUAAACCUGCAUAUGCAAGCCUGCACACAGUCACGUGCAAUAUACAUAUACUAUAUAUAUAUAUGUGUGUUGUUGUAUAUGCAUGUAUGUAAGAACGCAUACACACACAUGCACUCACACAAAUACACACAUAACGUAUUGAGAGGGGGUUAGGCGGCGGAAGGUCGUGAUUGAGAAGAAAGAUUAAACCUUGAUAAAGCUGACAUCACUGGCGCUUCCAAAUAACCAAUAGAAUAUCAUUUAAACAUAUAAAGUACUGCAUCAAAAUAAAAACUAUACCACACAGCACUGCUAGUGAAAAAGCCACAGGGAAUAUUAACCAAUUCAUAAUCAAUAAUAUUAAUCUUCGCCAAGUCUAUGGAACUAAAAGUCUUUAGAGACAUCGUGGCAUGAGAGAGAAAGCAGAAAACAAACGUCUGUAUAUAUUUAUAUACACUCUGGCUAGAGUUAGUAUAGAUUCUAGUAGUAAGUACCCAUCGUUUUUCCUCGGUUAAUACUAUAAAUAUAAAUCAGAUAGAUACUAGACGCAGUGGAUUGCAGUGUUUUGCAUUUUGCACAUUUCCCAUUAGUUAUCUAGAUCUGUUUUGCAAUGUUUAAGUCACCGAAAGUCAUAAUACAAGCAGAAUGAUGUGGUUGCCUCACAUAGAAAUCUGGUGAAGGUAUCCUACAGGGAACCGCUCAAAGCUAUAGAAUCUGGAUUUAUCUCUUGUUCCCAGCAUUAUGAAGCGGUGAAAGAAACGCAUUUUCCAGGACAGAGCACUUUGUCUGGAGUAACUCACUUAUUUGUCGUGAGAAUUAAGCUCAGUAUUGCUUGGUACCAAACCCUUCACCAAUUUCAGUGCGCAGCUGCUGCCUACGUUGUGAAUUGUAUCCAAUACAACGGCAUUUUAUAGCUUGACAAACUAAAUCAUGAAGACGCUUCGUUAAUGUUGCGCAGUAAUUCCUAUAGUUCUUGAAACGUAUCUUAGGGAGAAACAAUUAAGGAUAUGAAGGCCACUGGAUACAAAUAUCACAAGGGGAGUCCUUUAAUAUUAGGUCCUUUCUGGAACCAAGACUUUGUAUUUAUAAGAGGCAAACUUUUAUCCGGGGUAUUUUUUGUGGAAAAAUGAGCGCCUGUCGAAUUCAGUCAUUAGCUAUUUAAAAUAGUAUGUUAACUAAAUAAAAGACAUUUUCUGUGAGUAAUAUGUACUUUUGUUCAUUCUGUAAACUGCUGACCCUCACUUUCUCAUACGUUACCAUGUCCAUUUAGUUAUAUAUUAAGAUGUUUACUGGUCAAUUAGUAUUUGUUGUUAACAGAAUAUGAAAUAAUUUAGGCUAAUUUUCGUAGGACUAGCUGUCAGCUUUGGGUGAGGUGGUCCGAUCUUAUGACACGGGCAAAGCCAACUUAUUUUUUUCAAAAGCAGUCCUAUGGCCGUGAAGUAAUGAAUGUUCCUAUAAAUUCCCUUCCUCAUUUCGCAUCCAAUGUCUUAUCGAUAUCAGCAGACAUUUUGGUGUACUCUGUACGGCUAGAAUUGUGUUUAUAUAGUACGGAGUAUGUCUCCAAAUUUCAAUUCUAAAUUGAAUUCAUUUCUUAUUACUCACAUUAAUUAGUAAUAGGUUUUCAAAAGACAUUAAAACUUCUCAACCAUCUUCUAUAUUAAAUCAUAUGCCCUGCAACUUUAUGUCUGUGGUAGUUUAAUAUAUUUGGCACAUACACUUCUGCACACAAACGUUCGUUAUUCAGUAUUAUGGCGUAAUGGAUAUAUUCUCCCAGUGCCGAGAGUAAAGUCAUUAUGACAGUCUAUUUUCUCCAUAUAAAACUAUGUAUACACAAAACAGCAUUGUUACACAGAUAUACUACUGAUGCCUCUGGUAUUGUAAUUAUUACAUAAAAUUUAAGAAAGCCAUAAUGUAUAGAUAUUUUACUUACGAUAAUAUUGUGUAAGAUGCGAUCUGAACAUGCAGAUCUGUCUUGAUUUUUAGUCGAACUAAUGCAAUUUAUUUUUGUCAUUACUUUCCUUGAGAGAAGUAUGACUGUCACACAUUAUGAUUACUUACUUUCUCUUUAAAUUUCAUUGGUUUUAGUACUUUAGUUUAGUCAUCACGGUUAAACCCCCUGCUUGCCUUCAAAUGAUAUAUUAAAUAUUUUAUUGCUUUUUUUCAUCGAAACUAAGGGAAAACAGCCGAAUUCAGAGCCCGGUAGUAUUACUGUUUUCCUUUUGGCUAAGAGGAAAAUACUAACAUUCUUAAAAGGAAACAAUUUUGAUACUAACGCGCGAAUAUGAAACUCUCGAAGUAUGAGAGUAGGUGAUAACCAUUCUUGACUUGGAGUUCCUACCAAACGAUAAUGAACGAAUCAAAAUUAAAAUCCGUAGGGGAAACAAUCUCAUUUAUUCUGACACUUCAUUGACUCAGCCAUUUCUAUAGCUCUUCCAACAAUAACAGUGCCAGUUACAAGUUCUAGUGAUGAAACUUCCAUUUUAGUCGAGCUUGUGAUAAAGAUUCUAUGUGGCCUCUUGAUUUGCUCACUGUAGUAACUAAAUCUGUUUGAAUACUAUCAUUAACAACUAUAAAAUAGAAAGCAUAUUUGAAGCGUUAAACGAUGCAAUCACAACGUCACAAUUAUACAAGAACGCUUCUUUCGUUCAAGUAAUUCAAGUCAAGCUUUGUUGACCGGACUUACCUAACAAGAAUAUCAGCAGAAACCGCAGCAGCAACAACAACAAAUAACAAAAAAAUAGUAACAAAUGUAACACCAGGUACAACUACAAAAAAAAAGAGAAAAUAAUAAUAAUAAUAAAAAGGAAAUAGAUUGGAAAAUAUUAUUGGAAGAAAUUUCAAGAUGGUCAACAGCUCGACAAUUAUCGUAAUUAUGCUAAAUGUUGUUUUGAUAAUAAUGUUAACAUCGAAUACAGCAAUAUCUUCUCAUUAAUGUUGGGAUUAAUAACAGUAGCAUUCUGUUCCCAAAUAUUCUCUUGUCUAUUUAUGUUAAAUCGCUGCAUAAUGACUAGAUUUAUUGCAUCUGCUUUCAUAUACGAUGUUGUAUUUUACGAUUGUCAUUUCUUGACUAUUUAUCAUGUCUGUCGCCGGACAGUCUCAUAAUCUUUUUGUCCUCUCCUGAGACGUUCACUGAUUUCCUGAAGAUGCUGUUUUACAUUGUCCAUACCAUUACUGUGACACAGAACUACCGAAAUUUUUGUUGCUACUGAUGGUGGUGGUGUGGUAGAUGGUGGUGAUGGUGCUGCUGCUGCUGCUGUUCUUGCUACUGCCGGUGCUGCUGGUAUGGGGGUGACGAUGGUGGUUUUUGCUGUAGCGGUUAUUACUAUGACACUGAACUAUCGAAAUUUGUUUUGUUGCUACUGAUGGUAGUCGUGGUGGUGGUAGAUGUGUUGUUGUUGUUGUUACUGAUGGUAGUGUGGUAGUGACAAUGGCGGUUCUUGUUUUAGCAAUUGUUGUUGCUAAGGUAGUUAGUGGUGGUAGAAAUUGUCCUAGUGGUAGUUGUAGUCUAACCAGAAGUUAGUGCAGCUACGACCAAAUUGGGUUUUCUUUUCGUUUCUUUCUAUUUUUUUUUUUUUUGGCUUUUUGUUUUCCAGAUCCCCCUAUCCUUUCUAAGACAAAAGAAAAGUAAGACAGGAGGGAAAAUAAUAUGAAAAUUUAUAAAGAAGAAUUUAUUUAUUUAUUUAUUUAUUUGCGUAUAUACGGUAGGGUACGAUAUGAAUUUAAUUUAACAACUGUUUCUCGCAUGUCGAACGGACGUAUACAACUUGUCAUCUCACUAACUCGAAUAGAGAUAGGUUAAUGAAAGUUGAGGUGCCGAUGGCAGUGAUGAUCGUGUUGUUGAUUUGUAUUGGUAAUAACGUUGAUAGUGGUGCUGGUGCUGCUAUUGGGACAUGGCUAGCAAUUGCAGUAGUAAUCAGUGUGAUAACUACUAUGCUGGUGAUGGCAGAGGGUGGGAUGGACUUGCUGGCGGGCAACAGAAGUGACCAUCGAAGAAAUAAAUAGCUGUGACAAUAGUACUAGAAAUUAAUGAUUGUGGUAGGGAAUGAUGAUGAUGAUGAUGAUGAUGAUGUGGUGGUGGUGGUGGUGGUGGUGUUGGUUGUUGCUGUGGUUGUGGUAAUAAUGGUGGUGAUGAAGCCAUGGUUAUGAAUGCAGUACAGAUAGCAUAAAAAUAUAUUACUACAACUACUGUUAUAAAAAUAAUGAUAAUAAUAAUAAUAAUAAUAAUGAUAAUAAUAAUAAUAAUGAUAAUAAUAAUAAUAAUAAUAAUAAUAAUAAUAAUAAUAAUGAUAAUAAUAAUAAUAAUAAUAAUGAUAAUAAUGAUAAUAAUAAUAAUAAUAAUAAUAAUAAUAAUAAUAAUAAUAAUAAUAAUAAUAAUGAUAAUAAUAAUAAUAAUGAUAAUAAUAAUAAUAAUAAUAAUAAUAAUAAUGAUGAUGAUGAUAAUAAUGAUGAUGAUGAUAAUAAUGAUGAUGAUAAUAAUAAUAAUGAUAAUAAUAAUAAUAAUUAUGAUGAUAAUAAUAAUAAUAAUAAUAAUAAUAAUAAUAAUAAUAAUAAUAAUAAUAAUAAUAAUAAGAAGAAGAAGAAGAAGAAGAAGAAGAAGAAGAAGAAUUGUUUCAAAUUUUGGCUCAAGGCUAGCUAUUUUAGGUGGAGGUAGUUAGUCGAUUACGUUGACCCCAGUACAUGACUGAUACUUUAUUUUAUCAACCUGUAGCGGAGGAAAGGCAGAGUUAAUUUCGGAUGGUAUUGAACUCGGAACGUAAAGAAUCAAAACAAAUACUGAAAACCAAUCCAUCUGUCGCUAUAACGUUUAUUCGAUAAACAUUUCCGAUAUAGGCACAAGGUCAGAAUGUCGGGAAAAGGAAACAGUUGACACUAGUGCUUGAUUGGUACUGUAUUAUAUGAAGCACAGGAGUAUAUAAGCUAAACGUGAUCUCGGUGAGAAGGCAGUGGCUAUAGUGGCAGUGGUUGUGAUACAUGGAGACGAUAUUUGCACUUAUAAUUAGCAUUCUUCGGUCAGCAAAAGGUGUGCGAAAAUGAACGACUCUGCUAGACAACUUUCCUAAAAUUUUGUUUUACUGUCAGCAUCUAUUUACUGCUUCAAUCAGUUCAUUAGAGUGUAGUUAUGUUGUCAUCAUAUUUUAUUGAGCUUCUAUAUAUCUCUGCUAAAGGAGGCAUAUGAUCGAAGAUCUUCCAGCCUUAACAAUUGUAUCUUUCUGAUACACAUGACAUUAUCCAGUGUGUACCACUUAUAUUUUGAGAUGUUAUAGUGUGAAUUUAAGGGUUAUGUAGUUGCUAUUUCUAUGACGUUGGUAUCUCAAGUCUAACGGUGUUUGGACGCAUGGUAGAGAUUGGUAGUGAGAUUGGUGAUAACUGAAUAAUGAUGAUGUUGUAUUUUCAUAUUUAUAUUGAUGGAUGGAGAACCAGUAACAACUGACAAUGAAGUUUCCUCUGCACUCAACUUGCAAGAUAUUGCGCCCUAAUAUCGCUUAAAUCAAAUUUUAUCGUCUUGGCCAAGGACAGAUCUAAUGGACAGUAUAGCUGUAAAGUUAAACUAAAUAUACCUGUAAUGCGUUUGAUCAUAUUUUUUCUCAGUCAAGAAUGACCUAAGCAACAACAUAUACUAUUUAUUCUCAAAAGUAUUUGAAGCAAAUGAAAUAUAAUGGUUAUUGAGAAUUUACACCCAAUACUGUAGUCGAUGUUCUAUAGGGGUUAACCUCUCUACUUAAAUCAAUUAACACAUUGACAGAUUUGGAAGAAAUUAAUUUCUUUAAAUUAAGACUUAUUUAUAAUCCUUUUCAACAUCUUGGUUUAUAUUUUAGUGACCUUUGAGUGAGUACAAAUAGGUACGAAAUACCCAGGAAGUUUGAGCACACACAAUGAAGAACGUAACUAAAUACAUUAAAUUAUUUAGUUCACUGCUCUGCAUAGUCUGUCGACUCAGUCACUUGAAGGCAUUGUAUUAUAUUGAUGUCUUAUAUAGGUAAAAAUAAAAAAAAGGAGUCCGUUUUAUGGCUGAGACGAAAUGUAAUUAUGUCAUAUGGCCUUUCUCAGCAACAUUACUACUGAAAAUGAAAUGAAAUUAAUUCAACUGAAAAUCGAGGUAACUAAAGAAAAUAUCGAAAUACAAGCACUGGGAUAGCAAUAUCCAUUUUAGUGUAAACAGGAAAUAAGAAAUAAAUGCUACUGCACGAUGGCAGAACGAAGAUGCGAUAAUAAAACUGACCCUCAUUCCCUCGUCAGAUCAACGCCUUCAUAAUUUUUAAGAUAUAACAAGAAUUUACACUCAUGUGUUAAUGAAAAUCUGGUUUAAUAUGGAAACAGUCGAGUAAUUUAUAGCUUAAGUGAAUGGCCAAUCGCAUUUAAUAAUCAUAUUCUCUGUUGAUUUUGAAGAUUUAAACCACGAACUAUUUCUCUAAGGUGCAUUUCAUUUUAUAUAGCGGAAUGUAUGAGUUAAGACUUAAAGUCUGUAGCAUACAACAGGGAAACGGUAGUUGAGGUGUGUACUACUAUUUCUAUAUGUGUGAUAGGUAGAUAGAUAGAUAGAUAGAUAGAUAGAUAGAUAGAUAGAUAGAUAGAUAGUUAGAUAGAUAGAUAGAUAGAUAGAUAGUUAGAUAGAUAGAUAGAUAGAUAGAUAGAUGAUAGAUAGAUAGAUAGAUAGAUAGAUAGAUAGAUAGAUAGAUAGAUAGAUAGAUAGAUAGAUAGAUAGAUAGAUAGAUAGAUAGAUAGAUAGAUAGUUAGAUAGAUAGAUAGAUAGAUGAUAGAUAGAUAGAUAGAUAGAUAGAUAGAUAGAUAGAUAGAUAGAUAGAUAGAUAGAUAGAUAGACAGAUAGAUAGAUAGGCAGGCAACAGGUAGGUAGGUAGGUAAGUACGUAGGUAGGUGGGUGAUAUUAAGAGAAAGACAGAACAUAACAUUGAUAGAGAGACUGAAAUACAGAUGAAAAACAAGAAAGAAAAAUAAGAGAAAAAAUGCCAAUAACAACAACAAAAAAAGUCAGAUUUAUAUAUAUUUGGAUUCUAAGAAAAUUAAGUGAAUUUAAUCUAUUCUAUUGUCGUAAAUAUAUGAAAAUAUUUAUUUGUUUUUCUAUUGUAAUUAAUUAAACGUUAUUCUCUAUCAUUGCAGGUAUUGUCUUACGGCAGCAGUGAACAUUGUGAAGACGGAACAAAUUAUAUUUAGAACUUUCUCCUAUGGAAAAAACAAAACGCAAAUAAAAAAAACAAAAGAAAGUAAAACAGAAUAAAUCAGCCUACAAGUAAAAAAAAAAUUGAUGUUGUUUAUAAUAUAGAAAUUUAA
rnacentral:lncRNA from 1 species